AUGGGAGCUUCUUUUAGUCCUUCUUGUUUCUUUUGCUUUAUUUCUUCUUUUUUUGUCUUCUGCUGUGUCUGGAAUGGACUAAGGAAUGGCAGUGCCUCAUGACAGAGAUUGUCUUCAUGUCUCCUUGUUGGCCAUCAGGAAAUCAGGAACUUGAGAUGAUCACCCAAGUAGCUGAGGCCCAGGGUUGCUGCCAGUCCUUAUCUUCUGCUGAGACAUCUGUCUUCAUUACCUCUUCGUCUAGGUACUCUGACCUCAAGGAUCCAGUUGGAGUAGAUUGCUGUUUAAGGUUUUCAGAGGUAAAAAUGUCAUCCUUGGUGGGGAGGGAAGUAAGACGGGAAGAGGAGAGUACUUGAAACAGAACUUAGGGACCAGUACGACUGCUUAGAGGCUCAUGAAAACCAAAAAAAAUGGAAAGAAAGAAGCACAUCAUCUGAAUUAAAUUCCUGAAAGCCUCACGGCUUGUUUUUCUCUAGGUUUUCAGCAACAAGCUGAAAAUUAGAGGAUGCUUCAAAGUGCCCUCCAGCUCAGGCA
rnacentral:lncRNA from 1 species